rnacentral:lncRNA from 10 species
GCAACGCGCUAGGGUCACUUUUGAGAUCAAGAAAGCUUUGUUCUUUUGCUGUUUAUAAUAAAACCUGUUGCUGCUCGCUCUUUUGGGUUCUGACUGCGUUUAUGAGCUGUAACACUUACCACAAAGGUGUGUAGGUUCACUCCUGAAGCCUGUGAGACCACGAAUCCACCGGGAGGAACGAACAACUCCAGAUGUGGUGCCUUAAGAGCUAUAACACUCACUGUGAAGGUCUGCAGCUUUGCUCCUGAGCUAGCUAGACCACGAACCCACCAGCAGGAAAAAACUCCGAACACAUUUGAGCAUCAGAAGGAACAAACUCUGGACACGCCGCCUUUAAGAACUGUGAUAUUCACUGCGACAGUCCGCGGCUUCAUUCUUGAAGUCAGACCAAGAACCCACCAAUUCCGGACAUAGGAAUACUAGCAGGGACUUUCUGGACAUUCGGCUCGGAGUUGGUUAGUUGUUCAGGAUGGUUCAAAGGUGUAAACUGUGAUCCUCUUCCUUGAGUGAGAUGGAAAAAAAUUAAUUUGCCGCAUCAGUGUCCAUAUCUCAGGGUCCGGCACGGUGACUGGCACAUACAAGACAUUUGUGAAACAUUCGUGGAAUGCAUGAACAAUGAAAAUAACACUUUGUUC